UACGGGGGGGGCAAGCGUUGUUCGGAAUUACUGGGCGUAAAGGGCUCGUAGGCGGCCAACUAAGUCGGACGUGAAAUCCCCAGGCUCAACCUGGGAACUGCGUCCGAUACUGGAUGGCUUGAAUCCGGGAGAGGGAUGCAGAAUUCCCGGUGUAGCAGUGAAAUGCGUAGAGAUCGGGAGGAACAUCAGUUGCGAAGGCGGCUCUCUGGACCAGCACUGACACUGAGGCACGAAAGCGUGGGGAGCAAACAGG
rnacentral:rRNA from 1 species